rnacentral:rRNA from 1 species
UACGGGGGGGGGCAAGCGUUUGUUCGGAAUUACUGGGCGUAAAGGGCGUGAAGGCGGCCAACUAAGUCAGACGUGAAAUCCCUAGGCUCAACCUAGGAACUGCGUCUGAUACUGGAUGGCUUGAAUUCGGGAGAGGGAUGCAGAAUUCCAGGUGUAGCGGUGAAAUGCGUAGAUAUCUGGAGGAAUACCGGUGGCGAAGGCGGCAUCCUGGACCGACAUUGACGCUGUAGCGCGAAAGCUAGGGGAGCAAACGGG